AUUGAACGCUGGCGGCAGGCCUAACACAUGCAAGUCGAACGGUAACAGGAAGCAGCUUGCUGCUUCGCUGACGAGUGGCGGACGGGUGAGUAAUGUCUGGGAAACUGCCUGAUGGAGGGGGAUAACUACUGGAAACGGUAGCUAAUACCGCAUAACGUCGCAAGACCAAAGAGGGGGACCUUAGGGCCUCUUGCCAUCGGAUGUGCCCAGAUGGGAUUAGCUAGUAGGUAGGGUAACGGCUCACCUAGGCGACGAUCCCUAGCUGGUCUGAGAGGAUGACCAGCCACACUGGAACUGAGACACGGUCCAGACUCCUACGGGAGGCAGCAGUGGGGAAUAUUGCACAAUGGGCGAAAGCCUGAUGCAGCCAUGCCGCGUGUAUGAAGAAGGCCUUCGGGUUGUAAAGUACUUUCAGCGGGGAGGAAGGGAGUAAAGUUAAUACCUUUGCUCAUUGACGUUACCCGCAGAAGAAGCACCGGCUAACUCCGUG
rnacentral:rRNA from 1 species